rnacentral:lncRNA from 1 species
UCUUCUCUCCCUCUGCCCCUCUCCUGUCCUCAUGUACUUGUUCUCUCUCUCUCUCUCUCUCUCUCUCUCAAAUAAAUAAAUCUUACAAGAAGAAGAACAACAACAACAACAACAACAACACAUCCUCUCUGGGUGGUAAUAAGGAGACAAUAUAUGUACAGACAGCAGACAACCUAGAUCCUUCCAGUUCCAAGGCAGCCUUCCCAUAAUAAGCAAGGAAUCUUUCAUUUUACAACGUCACAAUUCCUCUGGUCUAGAAACUCUUUAGAGCAUACAGCCUCAAGUUAAUUGUUAUAAACAGAAAUCAUGGUCUCAUUCCUUGGUGUGCACCAGAGACUCUUCCCCAGUACAUCCUCCAGGGGGUGCUCACCAGAAUCCAAGUGCUUCUUCCUACCAUCAUUCCCAAGGAUGGAUGGGUCUGUGUUUAUUUUCCCAAGAAUACAAGUUGGAGAGGAGUGGACACAUUAGCCUACUGGAUCAGAAGCCCUCUCCAAAAUGCAGAAUAAAGAUAAAGUCACAUUCAGAAACACUGGGGUUUAGGACUUCAACAGAGAAUCUGAGGAGCAAGGGUGGAUGAAGAGGGAAAAAGCCAGAAUCACAGACACAGCUGGGUCUCUCCUGGAACGAAUUCCCACAGACAAACUCUUCACCAGACCAUCAACUCAGAAGGGCAAAACGAGGAGCUUAUUGUGAAGAGUUUGGGCCAAACCACCCAGAGCUUCCUGUGCCAGAGAGGCUCGAUAAAAUCACUCAGCAAAUGGAAAAAUAUUUAUUUUGUGCUUAUUCUAAGAAAUGUGAUCCAUCAAAAUGAGCUGUCAAGUCCUUUCACUUCCAAGGACAGUGUCCACACAGUCCAGGCUGCCUCUGGAGCUGGAAUCAAAUCCAAGUUAGAGGCAAGUGAGGGCCAUACAGAUGUCUUCAAGGGUAUGCCGUAGCACGGACUUAAGGCACCAUCUGCAGACUCAGACUGCCUGGGUUUCAGCCCAACUCUCUCAUCCCUUAGCUGUGAAAAUUGGGCAAGUUGCUUAACCAUCCCUUAAUGCCAUUUUCCC